GCGCUAAAAAUAUCUUGUCACUCAUGUCCUUUGGCCGACCUUAUCUUUUAGAGGAGAGAGAUAGAAGCCACACCACACAAAUUGCAGUAGUUCUAGUAACUAUCCAGGGAAAUAUAUCUUCAAAAUGGUGAACGUUCCGGUUGCAACCUUGCCCUCCAAUGGCAAAACUAUUCCUCUUGUAGGCUUCGGCACAGCUGAAUAUCCAUUCAACUCAACUGGCUCCGUGAAAGAGUCAACUCUCCACGCAAUUAAACUCGGCUAUAGACAUUUUGAUACGGCUGCACUUUACCUCUGCGAGCAGGCUUUUGGAGAAGCUAUUGCCGAAGCUUUACACCUUGGCCUCAUCAAAUCUCGCAAUGAGCUUUUCAUCACUUCCAAGCUUUGGCUCAGCAAUGCUCACGCCCACCUUGUCAUCCCUGCCCUACAAACCACCCUCAAGAAUCUUGGAUUGGAGUACCUUGAUCUCUAUCUCAUUCAUUAUCCGUUAAGCUUGAGACCAGGGUCAGAUUCUAGCCUUUUAUUGAAGAAAGAGGACAUUAUGAAAAUGGACUUUGAGUCUGUUUGGGGGGCCAUGGAGGAAUGUCAAAAGCUUGGUCUUACCAAAUCCAUAGGAGUCAGUAACUUUUCUUGCAAGAAGCUUGAGGAGUUACUUGCCAUUGCCAAGAUCCCUCCUGCGGUCAAUCAAGUGGAGUUGAAUCCAGUUUGGCGACAGAAGAAGCUGAGGAAGUUUUGUGAGGAAAAGGGCAUCCAUAUAACAGCUUAUUCGCCAUUAGGAGCCAAAGGAGCAGUGUGGGGAACCAACCGAGUCAUGGAUUCUGAAGUUCUCCAAGAGAUUGCGAAAGCCAGGGGGAAGUCUGUCGCUCAGCUGCCACGGGACUUUCUUCAAACACGUGCUGUGCAUAGGUUCAACCAACUUCCCCGGCUUCCAGCCAAAAUUCAAAUACAAAAUACACAAUACUCCAAAACCUCCACAAAACAAAACAACUACACUGCUUCCGAUCAACCCACAUCACAAACUCAACCCACAAAAAUCACCAAGUGCAGCAACAAGAAACGCGCAGAAGAGAAAGGCGGAGAUGACGCGAUGAACAAACCGGUGAUGAGAAAGUUUCGGCGAUGGUAGAUGACGGUGAAGAUGGGACGACGGACCACCGGCGAUGGCAGAACGUGCAAGAGUAGUGGCGCACAGUGAAGACGCGGGGGAUUUGCAAAGAAAACCACGAGAGGAGCAAGCUUUCUGGGGAAGGGAAUGACAGAUUUAGAUUGCAGAAGUUAGACGAAAAAGGGCCGCCGGCGAAUUGCAUCCGGAAUUCGGCAGAGGCACCGGCAGAUGCUGGAUGAAAACCAAUGAUUUCAACUAAGAGAAAACCAUUCCAUCUGGAAAUCGAUUUGUCUCCGAUGGGUUUACGAGCAAGGAGUAAGUGUACUUGUUAAGAGCUUCAACCAAGGGAGAAUGAAGGAGAAUCUAGAUAUAUUUAAUUGGAAAUUAAGUCAAGAAGAGCUGGAAAAUAUUGAACAAAUCCC